GAUGAACGCUGGCGGCGUGCCUAAUACAUGCAAGUCGAGCGAACGGACGAGAAGCUUGCUUCUCUGAUGUUAGCGGCGGACGGGUGAGUAACACGUGGAUAACCUACCUAUAAGACUGGGAUAACUUCGGGAAACCGUAGCUAAUACCGGAUAAUAUUUUGAACCGCAUGGUUCAAAAGUGAAAGACGGUCUUGCUGUCACUUAUAGAUGGAUCCGCGCUGCAUUAGCUAGUUGGUAAGGUAACGGCUUACCAAGGCAACGAUGCAUAGCCGACCUGAGAGGGUAACGGCCAACAAGGGAAGGGAGACGGGCGCGAGCCCCAAAGGGGGGCAAGAGGAGGGAAUUUUCCCAAAAGGGGGAAAAGUGUACGGAGCAACCGCGGGGGGAGUGAGGAAGGUUUCGGGACGGAAAAAUUUUUUAUUGGGGGAAAAAAAUUGGUAAAGGAAAGUUGCAACAUUUGGGGGGACCAAAAGAAAAAGCCCCGGCAAAACAGCG
rnacentral:rRNA from 1 species